GCCGGAGCGGGAGGGGCGGAGAGGGGAGAGCUGGGCGCGCACGGGGCCGCACCUCAGCGGUAAGUGGGGGAAGCGCGGCCGCGGGAGUUGCCCUGCCCGUGAACAUCGAGCUGCCUGUAACGCUGUACGGUAUUUUUAUUCUUUCUUUUUAAUUCUCCCCGUGAGAUAAACCGUGUGUGCGUUGCCGAGGGAGGUGUCUGAAGCGCUAUGGGAAGCACAAGCAGGACAGAAAUUCCAGGAGGGGAGGCGGUGUGAACGCAGUUUUGAAGACAUUGAUCCCUUCCUAGGAUGGAAGAGGAAGGAAAGUAGGCACGUGCUUUGGGUACCAAUGUAAGUAAUCAGAAGCAGGAAUAACAGGGAUGCUGUUCAGUGUUUAUUGCUUUCUUUUUUUCCAGAAUUCCAGGAAGAAUUCUUUUAGAAAAGAACGUUGUUCUGUUACAGAUACCACAGAUGCUAAUUUCUCCUGUUCCAUCAACCGUUUAAAUGCUGUAAUCGAUCCUGAACUUAACGUUUUGCAGUACACUCUACCAACAUACCAUGAACUCAGGAGCAGAUUAGUCAUGGGAAGAUAGCGUCUGCCGGACUCGAUUAAGGCUUUGGUCCAUCAACUGCAGUGCUCUGCCGCCAGCCGUGCCCACUGCCCCACGCUUCAGUCAGGAGUGGUAUCAGAUGAACUGCAGUAAAUCAUGAAGUUGAACGUGUCAGUGAUAUCACAUAAGUGUUACUGACUACGAAUUGACAUAUUAUGACAGCUGGGAAAGCAUUUAGAAAAAAAAAAAAAAGAGUUCAUAGGAGGGUUUGAGUUGAGAUGGAUCUUAAAAGGCCCCUCCCCUGCAAUGAGCAGGGGCACCUACAGCUAGAUCAGGGUGCUCAGAGCCCCUCCAGCCUGACUUGGAAUGUCUCCAGGGACACAGCAUCUGCCACCUUUCUGGGUAACCUGUUCCAGCACUUCACUACCCUUACUAAAACAAACUUUAUAUUUAAUCAGAAUCUCUUCUCUUUUAGUUUGAAACCAUUUCCCCUUGUUCUAUCAAUUGAGAGCUGAAUGAUUUUCUAGAGAAGCUAUGGUAACAUACACAGGUUGGUCUCCAUAGCUUUCAUGAGCAAAUCAAAGUCAGAAAUGAGCUAUACUGCAGUGGGUUAUUCUGUCCAUUCGCUUAAGUGAUGCAAAAGGGUCACCUAUCAUGUAAUAACAUACCUUUAUCUUUUCUUGCAAUAGUGAAGGUUUGCAACUGCUUUGGUGACAAUCAUGAUGAAAGAGUUGCUGGGGAUGUAUGGAGGAGGAACCAAGACUGUCUGUACAGUUUCAUUAUUAAGAAAACUACAUUGUCUACUGCCUAUCACUGGAAGUUUGAGCAGAUUCAUAUUUUUUAGUCUCAUGCUGUGUCCUAAAGAUUUGUGAAUUGUCAGAAUUUGAUCCUACAUCACGCUGAACAAUUUCUUCAGAUUCUUAAUGUUCUCAUCUUCUGUUAGAGCAGGGAAAUCUCAGCACCCACAAAAAUUCUUAGGUUUUAAGAGCAGCAUGGAUUAGUAGGAUUAGCUGAUGUAUCACCAUACAUGACAAAUGAUGGAACUUCAUACUGCAGCAAAGUAUCUUACUUGAAAUUGCUCAGCACCUGUCGAGUUGCUGUCGUACACAAAAUGGAGAACAGUUCUACGAACCCAUGGCAGCAUUAGUCAGACUCUGGCUGAGACUGAUUACCAUCAGGUUACAAAAACUAAUGGAUGGGAGGAGCAACUACCUAUGAAGUGAGAGGUUUUAUUUUAAAUUGUGUUUAGAAGUAAUCUUUUAAAAUUCAUCACAAAAACACUUCAUUUGACUUUGUCCUUGAAGACCUAAAGGAGCAGUUGCUUUGGACAUGGAGUAAACCGCUGCUGUGGAAGGGUCUUUAGCCCAGGACAGCUAAACAAAACAAAACAAACAAGCAAACAAAAAAAGCUGCGAACAUUUACAUUUCAAAUUUCAUUUAGCCAGAAAGAAGCUUUCUCCAGAAGCUACACAGGUUCUGGAUCAGGAGAUCUCCUUACAUUUUUUUAAAAAAGUAAAACCUGCAGUAAUGUUAAGUAAAUGUUUUGUAAACAUGAACAGUUAUAUAAGGUUGCAAAUCUCAAAGCUUUCACAGUCAUAUUAAUGAAAAAUAUAUAAACCAGAUUUUUUUUUUUUUAAUAGGAACAUGUAUAUUUUGAGAUGAUAAAAGUUUUUUUAAAAAAAUUGUAGGGAUUAUCUCUAAUGUGCAUUACAUUAAAUUAUACAGCUAUAGAAUUAUCACACAAGCAUUUGAGCUUGUUCUUCCUUUUUUCCUUACUGGAACAAGAGAUAAAGGCAUAUGAGUGCACAUAUUCAGACAGGUUAUAGCACUUUCACAGUAGCAGAACAUCACUGAGUACAGUAGGACUAAAUCUGUUCAUAAGAGCUUGAAAAUUUACACAUUAGCUGAGUUUCAAUGAGAAGAAAAUUAUUUCCAGUAUAACCAUUUGAUGUGAAAGAAAGGAAGGGUCCAAGGUCCCUAAAUAUUCAAUCUAAGAGCGUACGUGGAGUUCAUCUCCUGUUGAGACCAAUGAAGUGUUUUUUACAUUCUUACAGUUGCUUCAUUGUUCUAGAUGAAGUCAACCAGUAUGAGCUCUUUUGAGAAAAAAGACAGUGCUUUGUUCAUCAAGUGACAUACAAAGGCUUUACUGCUUUAUCAGUGCAUUACUUGCUAGCUUCAAUAGUAGCUAAAAUAUUAUUGAAAACUACUAAGGUGUUUCUGCCCAAAUUCGUCCACAAACACUCCUGUGAUUUGUGAACAUUUUAAAUACAUGGUAAGACCGGUGCUGCUGUGUCACACUCAAGAUUUUGGACAUGCAUGGACAAAACAAAGUUUUCCAUUAGCUGCUUUUGUGUGGAGUUAGUGAAAUAGCUACUUUUGUGUGAAAGUUAAUCAUUCAGGAUAUUGUCACAGGGAACCAGAGGCUGGCUGGAUUGUGUUAACUGAUGCACUUCAACACAGAAAGUUGGACUCUUUGUUCAUAAAUCAUUGCUCUUGACUUCUAGAUGUGAAGUUGCACGACUGUUAAUGAUAUCAGAGUACAAAGAACAAGACUAGAAGUUUGAAGCAAGUCCCAGUCUGUGAGAUUCUUCUUAUCGUCUGCUGCUACAAUGAACACAGGGCUACUGAAGGACUGACUGCCUGAUAUCUCUUGUAGUGGGAAAGGUGCUUUAGACAGGAAAUGACUGAGAUAUAAUCUUCUCUGGAAAAAUAAAUGUCUAGUUCUUGAGUGUAAAAUGGAAACUCCAUUACAUAAGCUCUCCCUUAUGGACACAAAAUUAAAGUUUAAUUGAGAAUUUCCUGUGCUCGUAACAAAAAGAUGCAACAAAACAAACAAAAAAACACCACCAAAAAAAAAAAAAACAACCAGCCUGAACAAAAUCCAGAGCCCUCGUGGCUAUAACAACUGGGGAAAAAAAAAUCACCCUGUUAAAAUUCAUGCCUUUAAGUGAAUAGAAAACAUCAUGAAAACCUAAAAUAUUUAGGAUUCAAAGAAAAAUAAAUUAUUAAACAGAAAUGUUUGUCUUCUAUGCCAAAGUCAAUUUCUGACAAUAAACUGAAUAUUCUGUGAUAAAUCAUGUUGAAUUUCAUACACAUUUCUCCUGGAAUUCAGUGAUGCUUCUGACCCAAAAAAGGAAAGGUAAACAUCUUCACUAGCAUCUUAGGUAAGUAUACAGUGCUACAGUCUAAGAAAAGAUGAAGGAGAGGGGUAUUUUCCUCUACUUGUUUACUUUGUACCACAGAGAAUGUUUAUAGAUUUUCUGUUUUAUUGUUGCUGCCAGUUACUAAUUUCCCUUUCUUAUGACUUAGUUAAUUGGAGAACAGUUGGGUUUUCUUGUUUGUUUUUAAUCUGUUUUGUUCUUAAAGGAAGGAAUAGUGCUUUUAAAACCAUAACAGAUAGCAGUAAGAAGUAGAAGAGUAAGUAUGUACAACUUUAAUUUUAUGAAAUUAAUCUAAUUUGACAGUAUUUUUUUAAGUUGAGAUGUACCAAGAUGGUCAAAUCAGUUCUGCAUUGCUACUUAUUGAUGACUGUUGUGCUAAUCUGUCACAUACAACUCAGAAAAGAUUUUGGUUUUUACUCCAUAAAGUUAAUACCGGUAUUUCUAGAGGUCUCAGUAAUGCGUAAGUAUAUCCUAUAAAAUGAGUAAUAAGUGCUGUGUUCAAAGUGAUGUUCUUUUGGUUUGUGUUUUUUUGUUUUUGUUUUGUUUUGUUUCUGACAUAGUCUUCACACUAUGCUACUCGCAGUGAAGUUCUGGAUAAUGUACGAUAUCAUGAUUUGUCUGUGUUAACAUGUAUCCUUCCAUUUACUGAAACUUCUAGCAAAGAAAAACGACACUGGACAAAGUUUAAGUAUCUUUAAAUUUACUUAGCUGGGAAGAUGAAAUUGACCCAAAUACUCUUGCCGCUUAAAUCAAGGUAUGUUGAAGAGAGAGAAAACAGAAAUCUCCUUCAGCUUUCAAAACUUCAUCCAUCUCCUGAGAAUCAAAUCUUCAGCUGGCAGAUGUCAGCAGGCAGCACCAGAACCGUACUAUAUUCCUGAAGGAUCCACUCUUCAACACCAGACUGCCACGACUGGAACGUCAGAGUUACAGAUAACUCUCAGCAUUCCUUGAGGACAGUUUAAUUCCCUGGGGGCCUUGUAUGUUGCUGUCAGCCUGACUGGGUAGUAAAGCAGACCAUGACUUCAGCAGAAAUUCACAGAUGCAAGUGGAAAUAUCUUGACAGUAGGAGGGAGUAAAAGGUAACCAGCAUGAAGAACAGCUGUGAAACACAGAACAAUAACUGCUGCCUCAGCAGCAGUCGUUCCAAAGAGAACAGAGAGAACUCUGUGGAUUAAAAAAGAAAGAAAGAAAAAAGAAGGAAAAGAAAAAGAAAGAAAAACACCACCACUACCAAGUCAAUAGGCAUUACAAAAUUAAGAGCAGAGGAAUGAAUUAGACUUACAGAGAAUGAAUGAGGCUUACAGAUGGGGUAAAUUCCCCAUCUAUGAGUGGUGAAUUCCCAGGUAAAGAAGGUUUGCACAGGAAAUGUUAAUAGUACAUGAGGGGCAAAAAGUGGGGGAGAGGAGUGUGGCAAGGAGGAAAGAUUGCAGCAUGGUGAAGAAGAAGUCUGAGGUGGAAAAUGGAGCAAGAGACCCAUGCAAAAACAAAACAUAACAUACGCACACCUCCCCCUGCCCCCCAAAACAAACAAACAAACAAAAACACAAAGGAUGGAGGAAAAAGACACUUUGCUGUUUGGCUGAAGGAAGUCAUUAAACUGAAAUCUGGGAGAAGAUCGUAGAGGUGAAGGAGGGAAGACUGAAACUAUCUUCUGAAUGACAGCCCAUAGACUAUCUAGUGUUCUGAAUGAGUCAACAAAUCUCUUUCCAUUUGUGGAACCCUCAAAAUACCUCUAGUUACGUUUGUAACCUCUCCUGUGGAAAUGCAUUUCACUUUCUGUACCACUCAAGAGCCUCACAACUAGAAACGAUGAUUAUUGAGACCAACUGUCCCAUCAGUAACGAACUUGAAUAGAAUGACCAGUGAAUGUGACAACAGGCAGUGGAACGUUAAUGAGUUAAAUAAUGAUAAUCCUAUAGAUGAUAAGUGGGAAUGACAAAACAACCAUGUUGGCUCUUGCUCACUCUAAGCUUGUGCAUCAAAGAAGUAUAGUCAGUGAGUUUCAUAGCAAAGCAAAAGCUGAGAUAAAAGGGCUGAGGCUGUCUGUGAUCUGAUCUUUACCAUAAAAAGGGGAGGAUGUUUUAUGAACCAUCACUCUGAGUACAAAUAAAUGUAGAAUUUAAGAAAGAACUGAUGUAUUUGAUUUAUAAAUAAAGUGUAGAGAACAAUCCCUGAUGUGUAAGAAUUCUUUACAGCCUUCAAGGACUCCUGUCCACUUUUACAACCCAAUACAGAUCAUGUUGCAAAGUAAAUUAUUACAUGUUACCUUCUGUAGCAGAUGCAUUAACAUCCAAACAGAUUGUAAAGAGAUUAUAAAAUGGUUAGUACACUUGUUGCAUAGCAGAGCUCUUCAGAGGUGACUGUUUAUCCUGGUUUCCUGUUAAUUUGGCAAGAACUGAAGUUCUAGUCUUUAUCACAGACCAAGCCAUGUCAAACAGGAUGAUCUGAUGAACACUGACCAAUGAGACUAAUGAUAUCUGAUUAUGGGAAGUGUUCCCGCCACGUUGACACUCCCAGUUCUUCACACAAUAGACACUGAGAAUGUUCUCAGCUGCUUUUGGCCCUCCCUGUAAACUGUUGAAGACUCCACCAGAAUUCAAAUAAAAAUGUCUUUAUCA
ensembl:lncRNA